GACCCAGUAGCGGACGGUUCCGCGCCCGCGCCGUGUGUCUCGUCACGUCUUCGACGCAUGCCAGCGGGGUGCCCCUGGUUCGACUCCAGGCUGGGUCA